UCACCAUGCAGCUCUAACGGCUGAACCAGCAACUUGCAGGAAUGAGAGUUAAUAUAAUAAGUUAUUAACUUGCUUGACUAGGUCUUAUAAAGUUCUGGAUAAAGCUUAUUAUGAAAACUUUAUAUCCAUAGGUCUCGACCAAAUCUUGUGCCAGCAGUCGCGGUAAGACAAGGGAGACGAGUGUUAUUCAUCUUUAACAGGUAUAUAGGGUACCUAGACGGUGUGCAAUGGCUUAAAUAAGUACCUGGUACACUUGAGUUUGAUAUGUGAGAGGAAUAUGUCGGAAUUGUUGGAGGAAAGAUGAAAUUUGUUAAUACCAAUAGGACUGAUAACGGCGAAGGCAAACCUCUAUGUACAUGUACUUGCUAUUUCUAUUUGUUUAUUUUUUUUUCAAUAGAAAAAAAAAGAAACUAAAAAAAAGAAACUAAAAAAAAGAAACUAAAAAAAAGAAAUUUUUUUUUGUGAAGGAAUAUAUGAAAUAU
rnacentral:rRNA from 1 species